ACACCGAACCCAGGUCAAUCUUCUUGGGUUUCCAGACAUCCAGGAAGGCAAUUCCACGGCCCCACCUCUCUCAGCCGUCCACACCCGUGACCUCCAGCAUCCUAGAGUCUAACCUUAAUCCUUCCCACUACAGGAAGGAGGGUCGGAGACCCCACUGUCAGUCAGAACAUAUCUGGGUCACCCUGUUGGGCUGCCAGCCAUGGAUCCUACAGCUGAGCCCCCAGCUGCUGCAGGAGAUACAGCCUAGAGAAUGGCGGGAGCCAGGGGACAGAGGCGGGAAACUCGAGAGAGAGGUCCAGCUAGCAGGUACAGGAGAGAUGGUCCUGGGACUCAGUUUUCCCCAUACUUGGCGCACUGGCAAUCAGAAGCUGGAAUCCGAGAACACCAACCUCAUCACCCCUUCAGAGCAGGUGCCUCCCUGGGGACACUGACCCAUGAACGGAAAGUCCUGGACACCAGCAUCCAGGCGGCACAUAGAUGUCUGGAGCUGGGACAGGAAGAUUCCUAGCAGGACAAGUCCAGGUCCCUUCCCCUGGCCGGCGGCCGGCCGGCCGGGUCAGGGCACAACAUUCAAAAUACAUUAAAGGCCGCUCCCUUUUGAAGUGCCGAACUAUCUUUAUUUAAUCAGAGAGAAACAACUUUUCAAAAGAUUUUUUUUCCCUUUUCUACCUUCGGCUCGCCGGUCUCCGGCGGAAGGACCAUGAAUAAAACA